rnacentral:rRNA from 1 species
UACAGUGGUUGCAAGCGUUGUUCGGAAUUACUGGGCGUAAAGGGCGCGUAGGCGGCCUUCUAAGUCAGACGUGAAAUCCCCCGGCUUAACCUGGGAACUGCGUCUGAUACUGGAGGGCUCGAGUGCGGGAGAGGGAUGUAGAAUUCCAGGUGUAGCGGUGAAAUGCGUAGAUAUCUGGAGGAACACCGGUGGCGAAGGCGGCAUCCUGGACCGACACUGACGCUGAGGCGCGAAAGCUAGGGUAGCAAACGGG